rnacentral:rRNA from 1 species
UACGUAGGGGGCGAGCGUUGUCCGGAAUCAUUGGGCGUAAAGCGCGUGUAGGCGGCCCGGUAAGUCCGCUGUGAAAGUCCAGGGCUCAACCCUGGGAUGCCGGUGGAUACUGUCGGGCUCGAGUCCGGAAGAGGCGAGUGGAAUUCCUGGUGUAGCGGUGGAAUGCGCAGAUAUCAGGAGGAACACCAAUAGCGAAGGCAGCUCGCUGGGACGGUAUUGACGCUAAGGCGCGAAAGCGUGGGGAGCAAACAGG